UACGGGGGGGGCAAGCGUUGUUCGGAAUUACUGGGCGUAAAGGGUGCGCAGGCGGCCGGGUGUGUCAGAUGUGAAAUCCCGAGGCUUAACCUCGGAACUGCGUCUGAAACUACUCGGCUAGAGUAUUGGAGAGGGUAACGGAAUUCACGGUGUAGCAGUGAAAUGCGUAGAUAUCGUGAGGAAUACCAGAGGCGAAGGCGGCUACCUGGACAAUUGCUGACGCUCAGGCACGAAAGCGUGGGGAGCAAAAGGG
rnacentral:rRNA from 1 species